ACGGCCUAAAGCGUGGUUAAAUAAUAUUAAACUCAAUAGAAAUAAAAAUUAACUUAACUGUUAUACGUAUUUGUUAAACGGACACCCAAAACCGAAAGAUAUUCUAAUAAACAAAUUACUUGAAUCCACGAAAGCUAAGAAACAAACUAGGAUUAGAUACCCUACUAUGCUUAGCCCUAAACUUUGGAAACCCCCCCGCCUGAGUACUACGAGCCACAGCUUAAAACUCAAAGGACUUGGCGGUGCUCUACACCCCCCUAGAGGAGCCUGUUCUAUAAUUGAUAACCCCCGCUAAACCUCACCACUUAUUGCCAGUACCGCCUAUAUACCGCCGUCGUCAGCUCACCAUUUGAAUGAAUAAUAGUAGGCAUAAUGAUAAACAUAAAAACGUCAGGUCAAGGUGUAGCGAAUUGAGUGGAAAGAAAUGGGCUACAUUUUCUAUACAGAAAAUACGAAAAAUCUUAUGAAAAAAAAUUUAAAGGUGGAUUUAGCAGUAAAAAGAAAACAUAGUGUUCUUUUAAAAUAGGCCCUAGAGCGCGCACACACCGCCCGUCACCCUCCUUAAAAAAUAUAGUGAUAUAAUAAAACAAAACAAAAGAAGAGGUAAGUCGUAACAUGGUAAGUUUACCGGAAGGUGUACUUGGAUUAU
rnacentral:rRNA from 1 species